GCUUAAAUAGUUUAAUUAAAAUUAUGAUUUGUGGUGUCAUAGAUGAGUUUUUCUUUAAGCA
rnacentral:tRNA from 1 species